rnacentral:rRNA from 1 species
UACGUAGGCAGCAAGCGUUGUUCGGAAUUACUGGGCGUAAAGAGUGUGUAGGCGGUGUUCUAAGUCUGUUGUGAAAUCUCCCGGCUUAACUGGGAGGGUGCGGCGGAAACUGGGAUGCUAGAGGAUGGGAGAGGUAAGCGGAAUUCCUGGUGUAGCGGUGAAAUGCGCAGAUAUCAGGAGGAACACCAAUGGCGAAGGCAGCUCGCUGGGACGGUACUGACGCUGAGACGCGAAAGCGUGGGGAGCGAACAGG